rnacentral:rRNA from 1 species
ACUCCUACGGGAGGCAUGGGUGGUAAAUAUUGCUGAAUGGAACCCUGCCUGAUGCAUCCAUGCCGCGUGUAUGAAGAAGGCCUUCUGUUUGUAAAUUACUUUCAGCGGGAAGGAAGGUGUUGUGGUUAAUAACCGCAGCAAUUGACGUUACCCGCAUAAGAACCACCGGCUAACUCCGUGCCAGCAGCCGCGGUAAU